AACUUUCUGAAUCCGUGCCGAGAUUUCUCAGACACCAAAACAUCAGUACUGAUGGGACUACCACGAUAAGUGAGGCG
rnacentral:pre_miRNA from 1 species